CCGGGCCGGGCCGGCCGGCGCGCAGGGAGCACAGCCCGGCGGCGGCACCUCGGCCAGGGCCAAGGACGGGGCCGGGAGCGGAAGCGCCGAGGGUCGCUAAUGGCAAUAAAAGGCUGUUACCUGAGGCAGCGGCAGAAGGUGUAGAAAAGAAGAACGUGAGCAAUUCAUGAAACGGAAACAUUUCUGGAAAGUAGACAGAUGUGUCAAUGAGAGUAAUGAAUUAGCUCAUUGCCUGUGCUGUGAGUUGGAGAUGAAAGGAUAUGUGUAUUUCAUCUCCUCUGCAAGAUCCUGAGAGAUGUCAUCCACCAGCUCACUCUCAGAAGACUCAUGGGCCAUCGACUUGUACAAUUUACAGGCCACAAGUGCCUUGGCCAUGGUUUCCUCCCCUCGCUGCCAAAGGAAGAGUGCCAUCUUUUGCCGUUUCAUCAGCACAGCCCAUACCAUCAGUUCAUGAAAGGGAUACUGAAACCGGCUGACUUCUGGGUCAUCCACAUCAAUAUCGAUCUCUUCCUCCUUUUUCUUCUUCUUCUUCUUCCCUUUGGUGGGAGGCUCAUCAUCCUGGGAAGAAGAAAAAAUGUUCCCAUCAAUUUUUAACAUCUAACCUGACAAUGGCACCAUGCACAGAACACGUUUUGAGAUGACAUAUUAAUAGGUAAAGUUCUAAUUUGUUUUUGCUGUUUGCUACAAUGAAUACCAAUCGUGAUAAAACUACAAAGAACACAUGACAGCACAUGCACUGGGUUAGCACACACAGCUUAAUAUUUCAUUCAGAGAACCGUUUCUUGCAUACUUAAUUACAAGUCACCCAUCUUGGAUUAGUACAGUAGAACCCUGUUGUACUGAAGGCAUCACUUUACACUGCAUUGCAAAUAGAUCUCUACCGCACGUGUAAUUGCAAAAGUUGAUCUGCAAUGAAUUAAUAUUUAAUGAAUUCCAUUGCAGUGCCAAUGGACCUUUAUCAAACCUGAAUUCACUAUGAAUAGGUUCCACUAUAAUUUCCAAUUUGAUAUGUCUGCACCUAUUCCUGAAGAACAGUGCUGCUUAUCUCACAGGUAUCAAAGCAGGUUCCACACUGACAUGCAGGUGGAGGGUGGUAACAUGCACAUGGAAGAGAAAGGCAGAUAGUGCCCUUAAGAACAGCAAGAUACUAAAGGGAGUUUUCACCUUUGAAUAAGCAAUCUCCUCUUAUGUAUGCAGUGCAAACGGAACGUAUAAGUAUCCAAUUUCUUAAAGGGAUAGAGAGGAUUAGCCAUUACUACAGGAACCAACAUGGAAGUAACUGAAGGAAAGUACUGACAAUGAAGCAGGAUCCUGAAGGGAGAAAAGCCAUGAUUGGGAAAAUUAGGGUUUAAAUAAUGUAGGAAGAACAUUGCAUAUAUAAGUGUAGACAGAGCUCAUAAUCAUUGCAGACCUUGAUUCCAAUCUCAGAAGUGGAUUGCAAGUAAAAGCAAUUAACAUUCUACAAAACUAGUUCCCGUUCAAGCAAGCUCAGCAAUAUGCACCUUUUUUGACAAAAUUUGAACUUAAAUCCUAUUUCCAGGUUCAGCCUCACACCUCAGGUUUCCAAAGAUGAUGCUUCAGCUCAACAAUUAAGUAUAUAUUUCUAUUUCAUCAGUUUUAAGAACUGCAAGUGAUGACCUCUGUCUCCUAUGGAAAAUUCAGGGGUCAUUAAUUGCAUGCACAUAAAUAAAGUGUUCAGUAUCUCUGAAGCACAGGGCAUAAAAUCUCAAAUGGAGGACCAAAAAUGAGGUCGUCUCCACACCAGGAAAAUCAAAUCAAUACAAAACCCUGGUUAAGAAAGAAAAAGAGCUAAGGAGUCUAAAAUUCCUGUUUUAGAGCUGCUAACACUGGAAAGGAAAGAAACCCCAGACACCUGGAGUCACAUCAAUUUACUGACCACUCCAGCAAAAGAAAUGUUAUUUUUUCUUUUCACCUUUUCUUUCUCUUGGAAGAAGGGAGUGGGCUACACCCACUGUCAAGUGGAGAGAACACUUCAGUUUGUGACACAUAAAACAUUUCUUACUGAAAGAAAUGUUCUUUUGAAGAAGCACUAAGCAACCUGUGUAUGAUCACCACUGGUUAAAAAAGGGCUGCACCUCCGAGGGGCUGAGCUUUUGGCCUUGAGCCAUUCAAAAACAGGAAGCUGAUCAGAGAGUGAACAUAACCUCCACUUUCUCUGUAGAGAAGAAAGCUGCUUAUCUGUUUGGGGGAAAAGGGGCUGUUGUGUGUAGAUACAGUUCCCAUCAAAUGUACCACAAGCAACAUGUACAUCUCCUGUGUUUGAAUACUAUCAUAGCGUUAAUAAAAGCAUGCUUCAC